GACGAACGCUGGCGGCGUGCUUAACACAUGCAAGUCGAACGGAAAGGCCCUGCUUUCGUGGGGUGCUCGAGUGGCGAACGGGUGAGUAACACGUGAGUAACCUGCCCUUGACUUUGGGAUAACUUCAGGAAACUGGGGCUAAUACCGGAUCGGAGCUCCUGCUGCAUGGUGGGGGUUGGAAAGUUUCGGCGGUUGGGGAUGGACUCGCGGAUUAUCAGUUUGUUGGUGGGGUAGUGGCUUACCCAGGCUUUGACGGGUAGCCGGCCUGAGAGGGUGACCGGCCACAUUGGGACUGAGGUACGGCCCAGACUCCUACGGGGGGCAGCAGUGGGGAAUAUUGCACAAUGGGCGGAAGCCUGAUGCAGCAACGCCGCGUGCGGGAUGACGGCCUUCGGGUUGUAAACAGCUUUCGCCUGUGACGAAGCGUGAGUGACGGUAAUGGGUAAAGAAGCACCGGCUAACUACGUG
rnacentral:rRNA from 1 species